UGCUAUCCGUGUGUCUCUCGGACGUGUUAUUGCGUGCGUUACUCCAUUGGGCCGCCACCACCAUUCAUUGCUCGAUUGCUUCCGUUUUUUUUCGUUAAGAUUCCCUUGGUUCGAUCGAGUGCGUGUUAUAGUUUUCGUUCUUGCCGUGGAAGCUGCCAAACUGUCUUUGUACCCAGGUUUCUCAAGUUGCUCGUCGGUUUAGCCUAUUGUUAACAUCCAGCUGUGUAUGAGCCAGCUUGUAGACUUCACGGCGGCGGUGUUUAGCAUAGAAAGGUGUUCUACUGAGAAUUUCGUUGUUCUUGCCGUCGUCAUCGUCGUUGUUGUUUUUUUGCGGCAGGUUGUGUGUUGUUACUAGUAGAUGUUCAUCCGUUAUAAAUUUACUACAUAAAAAAACUAACACACAUCUAUAGUCACAAUGGCGAGUGCGCGCGUGCUGGAUGAUUCAAUGGUUCGGGACAACGAUCGUGCCAAGACGGCGGGCCUUAUCCCGAGUUUACUCCCUACUUCUUCAUCCAACUGCCGGUUGCUCGACUUACUGGCCUAUUUGGCCUUACUCCUACUUCGCGCCAUCUGUUGCACCUGCUACGUUGCUCCGCCCGGCUCGAGACCUGACCUAAAAAUUAAGUGCUGAAUCGUCCGUUUCGAGAGCUGCAAUUGUUUGCGACUACAUAGAGUGUUGCCGGCAAGGUAGCAAGGCUGACGUGCCUCAACGAUAAGCAACGUGCCACAUGCGGCCGAGUUGGAUACUCUUAUAAACUACUUGGACAUCCAUCACGUGUUACGUACACACCUCUUGAGUGGGCUUUUAUUGAUAACAAAUCUUUUCCAAAACAACUCUACAAUGCAUCUGUUAUGUUCAUUGUGUUCCGUCGCCAAAAGCAGAUCUUUGAUUCCUCUGGUUCGUCGUAUCCAAGGCGCAGCAUACUGUGUUCGAGUUUUGUCGCACGUACUGCAGCGCCAAGAUGAAAACUUACAACAUAUAAACAAACAAAAAACCAUAAAACGAUAGGUUUUCUUCGCUACGGCAUUGACUGAAGUAUAAUCGUGGUCGCUGUGCUGCUGGCGGCACUGCGGCUGACUUGCCAGGCCAAGCAGGCCAUAGACGUGACAUGAGAAGGCUUUGUGUUAGUUGGAUUUUUUGUGGGCGAGUGCAAAGUUGAAGCUGAGUGAUGCUGGCUGCUCAAGCAGCUAGAUGUCUGCGGAGGGAUGGUGUCCGUUAGGCCGACAUUGUGGAUAGACGAGACUUGGAGCUCGGACGACAUCCUGUAACUGGAGUGGGUGGAUCGCGGCGAUCGUACCAGCAACUUGCCAGCUUGUACAACAAACCCGCAUAAGUCAUAACCCAUUGAAGUAAUGCCGGCUAAGCCGGUGCUCAGCGCGAUAGGCAUGCGCCUCAGCUUCUUCCACCGAAAUCAACAUAGCCAACAUUGGGUUGCCUCUUUCUUCAAUUCUCUUUAUUUGAGACGGCCAUUUCCGUCAGUGUCUCAUUUCUGAAAAGUGGCAUUGUAGUAGCCACAGUGAACCCUUACGUUCUGGUAGGGAUCUAGAAAGCUUAGAAUGUACAUGUAUAUUAUGCCGUACGCAAUAUGCAGGACGCCUCAAAGACGGUGUAUUAUGGACCGUACAUUUCAGAGUAUAUAGUUAUAACAUUUAAUCCAAAAAAUGCACAUUAUAUCUAAAUAAUAGCCCAUUUUGAUUGUAUCUGCACCUAAAUACGAGCAAGACACCAACCACAGUUACUCCAGUUACAGUAAAGCUCAUUGAGGCAGUCAUAAAAUAACCACCAUUGGAAGUACUAUAUUAUCCUGCCUUGUGAGGAGCCUUUUACAGGAACUUUGAAAGGGGAUUAAAAAAGGACUCGUAUGGCCGUACCUACUUCUCAGAGUAAACAACAGUUUUCGCAACAGUUACUUCGCUCCGUAUCAGGAUAGUUGCGUAAGAAGGUUGGAGACAAAUCGAUAGCUAGGAUGUAGCGAAGUGUAGCCAAGGUUGUCAGAUGAAGCUCAAAAGCUGCUGAGCUGGGAUUUCCAAGGGAGCGCUUCCGGACAACGUGCAGUAGAACAAGCAUUAUGAUCACAUACGUUGGUCCACUUUCUGAAACUUCCGCAAUUUUUACUGUCAUUAUCACGACUUAUUUUUAGAUCCUUCAUGAUAGAACGCUGUUCCUUACCGUCAUGCGACUAUAGCAAGAAUCAUUCUAAUGCCACUUCGGACCUUUACUGUAGAACGAGAAAAAAACUGAGAUAGAUAAUGUGAAUAUGCAGACUCCAACGGAACGAAAAAUCUCAUCGAUCGGUAGUUUCUCGCACGUGAUUCGA